rnacentral:tRNA from 2 species
AGCUAUCCCGACCAUUUCCCAUGCAUCAUCCUGGUGUAGUGUUUGUGUCUAUGUCAAUUAAAGGGACU